CCUACGGGUGGCAGCAGUGGGGAAUCUUGCGCAAUGGCCGAAAGGCUGACGCAGCGACGCCGCGUGGAGGAUGACGCCCUUCGGGGUGUAAACUCCUGUUGCCCGGGACGAAUGCCUGUUUCGACAGGAGUGACGGUACCGGGUGAGGAAGCACCGGCGAACUCUGUGCCAGCAGCCGCGGUAAGACAGAGGGGGCGAGCGGUGUCCGGAAUCACUGGGCGGAAAGGGCGCGGAGGUGGCGCGGUAAGCGGAACGUCCGGGGCUCAACCCCGGAUCGGCCAUGCGAACUGCCGCGCUGGAGCACGGUAGAGGCACAUGGAAUUCCGGGUGUAGCGGUGGAAUGCGUAGAGAUCCGGAAGAACACCGGUGGCGAAGGCGGUGUGCUGGGCCGUUGCUGACACUGAGGCGCGACAGCGUGGGGAGCAAACAGGAUUAGAUACCCGUGUAGUC
rnacentral:rRNA from 1 species